rnacentral:rRNA from 1 species
GAUCAUGGCUCAGGAUGAACGCUAGCUACAGGCUUAACACAUGCAAGUCGAGGGGGCAGCAUGGUCUUAGCUUGCUAAGGCUGAUGGCGACCGGCGCACGGGUGAGUAACACGUAUCCAACCUGCCGUCUACUCUUGGCCAGCCUCCUGAAAGGAAGAUUAAUCCAGGAUGGCAUCAUGAGUUCACAUGUCCGCAUGAUUAAAGGUAUUUUCCGGUAGACGAG